AAAGAAAUUUUCUUGUUAAGCUUCUAACUUAAACCUGAGCACUAAAUUGUUCAAAUUUCUA
rnacentral:tRNA from 1 species